GUUGAGACGUGAGUACGAGACGCUAAGGCGUCGAAGUAGUGUAUGUCAUACUUCCAAGAAAAGCUUGCACUGUCAUUCAUAAAAAAUGCCUGUACCAUAACCGACACAGGUGGGUAGGUAGAGUAUACUAAGGGGCGCGAGAUAACUCUCUCUAAGGAACUCGGCAAAAUGACUCCGUAACUUCGGGAGAAGGAGUGCCUUAUUUAUAUAAGGUUGCAAUAACAAGAUCCAAGCAACUGUUUACCAAAAACACAGGUCUCCGCUAAGUCGCAAGACGAUGUAUGGGGGCUGACGCCUGCCCAGUGCCAGAAGGUUAAAGAAGUUGGUUAGCAUUAGCGAAGCUGAUAACUGAAGCCC
rnacentral:rRNA from 11 species